AACGAACGCUGGCGGCAGGCCUAACACAUGCAAGUCGAACGCCGUAGCAAUACGGAGUGGCAGACGGGUGAGUAACACGUGGGAACGUACCCUUCGGUUCGGAAUAACUCAGGGAAACUUGAGCUAAAUACCGGAUACGUCCGAGAGGAGAAAGAUUUAUCGCCGAGGGAUCGGCCCGCGUCUGAUUAGCUUGUUGGUGAGGUAACGGCUCACCAAGGCGACGAUCAGUAGCUGGUCNGAGAGGAUGAU
rnacentral:rRNA from 1 species